rnacentral:rRNA from 1 species
CAGUAGCCGCGGUAAUACGAAGGGUGCAAGCGUUAAUCGGAAUUACUGGGCGUAAAGCGUGCGUAGGCGGUUUGUUAAGUCUGUUGUGAAAUCCCCAGGCUCAACCUGGGAAUGGCAGUGGACACUGGCUCGCUAGAGUGUGUCAGAGGAUGGUGGAAUUCCCGGUGUAGCGGUGAAAUGCGUAGAGAUCGGGAGGAACAUCAGUGGCGAAGGCGGCCAUCUGGGACAACACUGACGCUGAGGCACGAAAGCGUGGGGAGCAAACAGGAUUAGAUACCUAGUCCCUGUCUCUUAUACACAU